GACGAACGCUGGCGGCGUGCCUAAUACAUGCAAGUAGAACGCUGAAGGAGGAGCUUGCUUCUCUGGAUGAGUUGCGAACGGGUGAGUAACGCGUAGGUAACCUGCCUGGUAGCGGGGGAUAACUAUUGGAAACGAUAGCUAAUACCGCAUAAUAGUAGAUGUUGCAUGACAUUUGCUUAAAAGGUGCAAUUGCAUCACUACCAGAUGGACCUGCGUUGUAUUAGCUAGUUGGUGAGGUAACGGCUCACCAAGGCAACGAUACAUAGCCGACCUGAGAAGGUGAUCGGCCACACUGGGACUGAGACACGGCCCAGACUCCUACGGGAGGCAGCAGUAGGGAAUCUUCGGCAAUGGACGGAAGUCUGACCGAGCAACGCCGCGUGAGUGAAGAAGGUUUUCGGAUCGUAAAGCUCUGUUGUAAGAGAAGAACGAGUGUGAGAGUGGAAAGUUCACACUGUGACGGUAUCUUACCAGAAAGGGACGGCUAACUACGU
rnacentral:rRNA from 1 species